GAUGAACGCUGGCGGCGUGCCUAAUGCAUGCAAGUCGAGCGAACAGACGAGGAGCUUGCUCCUUUGACGUUAGCGGCGGACGGGUGAGUAACACGUAGGUAACCUACCUAUAAGACUGGGAUAACUUCGGGAAACCGGAGCUAAUACCGGAUAAUAUUUCGAACCGCAUGGUUCGAUAGUGAAAGAUGGCUUUGCUAUCACUUAUAGAUGGACCUGCGCCGUAUUAGCUAGUUGGUAAGGUAACGGCUUACCAAGGCAACGAUACGUAGCCGACCUGAGAGGGUGAUCGGCCACACUGGAACUGAGACACGGUCCAGACUCCUACGGGAGGCAGCAGUAGGGAAUCUUCCGCAAUGGGCGAAAGCCUGACGGAGCAACGCCGCGUGAGUGAUGAAGGUCUUCGGAUCGUAAAACUCUGUUAUUAGGGAAGAACAAACGUGUAAGUAACUGUGCACGUCUUGACGGUACCUAAUCAGAAAGACACGGCUAACUACGUG
rnacentral:rRNA from 1 species